CAUAAAUAUAUCGAGGAACACCAGUGGCGAAGGCGGCUAUUUGAACUGUAAUUGACACUUAAGCACGAAAGCGUGGGGAGCAAAUAGGAUUAGAUACCCUAGUAGUCCACGCCGUAAACGAUCUAGAUUAGAUGUCGGAAUUAUUCGGUAUCGCAGCUAACGCCAUUAAAUCUAGCGCCUGGGUAGUACGCCACGCCAAGUGUAAAACUCAAAGGAAUUGACGGGGACCCGCCACAAGUGUGACCAUGUGUUUAAUUCGAUGAUACGCGAAAAACCUUACCUACGCUUGACAUACUGGCAAAACUAUAAAAAUAUAGUCGAAGUUAACCAAUGUACACGUGUCCAGGUUGUCGUCAGCUCGUGUCGUGAGAUGUUGGUUAAGUCCAGCAACGAGCGCAACCCCUAUCCUAUGUUACCACCAUUAAGUUGGGACUCAUGGAGACUGCUAGGUAACCUAGAAGAAGGUGGGAUGACGUCAAAUCAUCACGGCCCUUACGCCCUGGGCCACACACGUGCUACAAUGGUAAGUACAGAGGGCAGCUACCUGGCGACAGGAUGCGAAUCUCGAAAACUUAUCUCAGUUCGGAUUGGAGUCUGCAACUCGACUCUAUGAAGCUGGAAUCGCUAGUAAUCGCGUAUCAGCCAUGACGCGGUGAAUACGUUCCCGGGCCUUGCACACACCGCCCGUC
rnacentral:rRNA from 1 species